AGGGGGAGCGCCGGAUCUUGGGCUGUGUCCCUGGGGUGCCCUGGGCUCCGGGGCCUGCACCGCUGGAAUCGCGCUCCCGAGGCCACAGAGCCCCCU
rnacentral:pre_miRNA from 1 species